UACAGAGGUCCCAAGCGUUGUUCGGAUUCAUUGGGCGUAAAGGGUGUGUAGGUGGCGCCGUAAGUCGGGUGUGAAAUCUCGGGGCUUAACUCCGAAACUGCAUUCGAUACUGCGGUGCUUGAGGACUGGAGAGGAGACUGGAAUUCAUGGUGUAGCAGUGAAAUGCGUAGAGAUCAUGAGGAAGACCAGUGGCGAAGGCGGGUCUCUGGACAGUUCCUGACACUGAGGAGCGAAAGCAUGGGGAGCGAACAGG
rnacentral:rRNA from 1 species